UGGUGGAGUGAUUUGUCUGGUUAAUUCCGAUAACGAACGAGACUCUGGCCCAUUAAAUAGUUCGCCGAUUCCGAUCUGUCGGCGUUAACUUCUUAGAGGGACAAGUGGCUUUUAGCCACGCGAGAUUGAGCAAUAACA
rnacentral:rRNA from 1 species